rnacentral:rRNA from 1 species
CGGGAAAAGCUCAAAUUUAAAAUCUGGCGGUCUUCGGCCGUCCGAGUUGUAGUCUGGAGAAGUGCUUUCCGCGCUGGACCGUGUACAAGUCUCUUGGAACAGAGCGUCAUAGAGGGUGAGAAUCCCGUCUUUGACACGGACUACCAGUGCUUUGUGAUGCGCUCUCAAA